GUGGGGAAUAUUGGACAAUGGGCGCAAGCCUGAUCCAGCCAUGCCGCGUGAGUGAUGAAGGCCUUAGGGUUGUAAAGCUCUUUCAGUAGGGAAGAUAAUGACGGUACCUACAGAAGAAGCCCCGGCUAACUUCGUGCCAGCAGCCGCGGUAAUACGAAGGGGGCUAGCGUUGUUCGGAUUUACUGGGCGUAAAGCGCACGUAGGCGGAAUGUUAAGUAAGAGGUGAAAUCCUGGAGCUCAACUCCAGAACUGCCUUUGAUACUGGCAAUCUCGAGGCCGGAAGAGGUGAGUGGAACUCCUAGUGUAGAGGUGAAAUUCGUAGAUAUUAGGAAGAACACCAGUGGCGAAGGCGGCUCACUGGUCCGGUACUGACGCUGAGGUGCGAAAGCGUGGGGAGCAAACAGGAUUAGAAACCCCGGUAGUCC
rnacentral:rRNA from 1 species